rnacentral:rRNA from 1 species
GGGUCAGUAGGUUGGUCGUGCCACCGGUACGUACUGGUCUCACUGAUUCCUCCUUCCUGAAGAACCGUGAUGCCAUUAAUUUGGUGUUGCGGGGAAACAGGACUGUUACUUUGAAAAAAUUAGAGUGUUUAAAGCAAGCUAACGCUUGAAUACAUUAGCAUGGAAUAAUGAAAUAGGACGAUCGAUCCUAUUUUGUCGGUUUCUAGGAUUGACGUA